GCCGCCGCGGUAAUAACCGCGCCGCAAGGGGUAGUCACGAUUAUUCCGGUCUAAAGCGUCCGUAGCCGGCUUGAUAAGUCUCUGGUGAAAUUCUACAGAAAACUGUGGAAACGGCUGGAGAUACUGUCAGGCUUGGGACCGGGAGAGGUCGAGGGUACGUCAUGGGUAAGGGUAAAAUCUUUUAAUCCUUGACGGACCACCUGUGGCGAA
rnacentral:rRNA from 1 species